UGGAACUAGAGCCCUGCACGGGCCGACGUUUCCGGGCCCGACCCCGCCCGGGCGCAUCGAAAAAUAGCCUGGCCCGACCCGGUCCCGGACCUUCAUAUUUUUAUGCGGCCCGGCCCGGCCCGGUGACCCAGUGACUAGAGCCCGGCCCGGCCCGGCCCGGUGACCCGAGCCGCUCCUGGUGCAUGGAAUGGCAGGCCCUUCAACAGAUACCUUCAUGAGGGCAUCCACGUGCUGAGGGAGAAGCCGAGAACGCUCGGACGACAACAUUCUGUUCAUUACAGAGAAACUCCUUUCAACGCCGGCCGUCCCUAUUGACAAGAGCUGAACCUUCUCGGCGGCUGCCGAUAAGGCAGGAAACAUCUCUCGCCCCUCUUCUGAACAACACCAAUGUGAUGACGAGGCUCUCAUGACUGGCGAUGUCACCCGGAUACCGAUUAUAUAUUUUGAAUUCUGUGGA